rnacentral:rRNA from 1 species
UACGGAGGGGGCUAGCGUUAUUCGGAAUCAUUGGGCGUAAAGGGCGUGUAGGCGGCUUCGUGUGUCCCAUGUGAAAGCCCUCGGCUCAACCGGGGAACUGCAUGGGAAACUGCGGAGCUUGAGUCCGGGAGAGGAUAGUGGAAUUCCCAGUGUAGCGGUGAAAUGCGUAGAUAUUGGGAGGAACACCGGUGGCGAAGGCGGCUAUCUGGACCGGUACUGACGCUGAAACGCGAAAGCCAGGGGAGCAAACGGG